AGUCUGGGUAGGAGGUAGUCAGGGAAGGACUCCAGAGGAAGUGGUGCUUGGGCAGUAGAAGAUGAUGAGGAGUUACCUUGGGAAUUGGUGAGAGGAAGGGUAGGGGAGAGGAGGAAGGAGAAAGUUCCCAGAAGCUCCUGCAAAGGCUUAUAAUGGAGGAAAAGCAGAGUAGUCUGGGGAAUUACAAGAAGUUGAACAUGGCGAGAGCAUCAAGUAUAAAACAGGAGAACUAGACAUAAACUGCAUGGGGAGCAGAUUGGAACCAGACAAGAGACUGGCUAAAUGGCCACUGGCGCAAUCCAGAGGAGAAUGUCGAGGGCCCGGCCCAAGGAAGCAGCGGGAAAUGGUGAGAGCUGGUUAGAUACGACAGGAUCUGGCACUAACCGGAUGCGGGAUCCGAGGAGGAGCAGGGGCCACAGAUGACGCCUGGGUCCCGAUGACGAUGGCGUCUGCCAGCUCCCCUGCGUGCUCCAGGGGAGACGCGCAAUUACCAGAUCAUCUUCUUCACACAGGCUGGCAGCUAUUGGCAGCCGAGAGAGGGAGGAGGCAGCGUCCUCACUAGCUGUGCCUAGGUCACCCUGGCCAUCAGUGAGUGAAUAAGGAAGGACAAAAAGGAAAAGGAACUAUGGGUUGCCUUGUUAUUUCCUUUCUUUCCAUGUCAUUUCCAGCAGAAGUGACUGGUUGACGCCUGGAAGUCUAUCCCCAUGAAACAGCCUGGGAAAUCUGCCACUGUGCAGACCAUGGGUUGACCUGAGAGAGCCUGUAGGAGACUGGGCACAGGCAGCAUCCUGUGCACCUCUGCCCAGCAGGAGGGCGCAGGUAGAGUGCUGGAGUAUCUAGCAUCUCCAGUCCCUACCACAGUGCCUAGAACACAGUAGGUGCUUACCAAGUAUUUGUUGAAUGAAUCAAUGAAUGGUAGAAUGAAAUAGACUACAGAACUUCUCUCUCUCCAACUCUGUCAUCAAAUUCCACAGCUGAUUCAGGAGCUGCCACGCUCAGGGAGUGCAGGGUCUCUGCCCCUUCUUCCUGUGUGGCCUUGUGGGGGAUGGGGCAACCUCUCUUUUCCUUCUACCCUUCUAGGUUCUCAGCUCUAAAGAAAGACAGUUUAACAAGAGAAAAAGCAUGCAAGUUUAUUUGACAUAAGUUUUUCAUGACAUGGAAGACUUCAUAGGAAAAUGAAGACCUGAAGAAACAGUUGAAUCCAAGUGUUUUUAUACUACGUUUAAUGAAGAGUGAAGAAAUUGUAAAAAAAAAAAGAAAUAUGAUAGGACAAAGGGGUGUAAACUAUGAAUAGUCAACUGGGGGAAAAACUUAGCAAGGCCUGUUUCCUCAGAUUCCUCUUGGCCCUCCUCCAUCUUCAGUGAUGACGCUGCUCCUUUCUUCCGGGUACCAGGAGGGAGUUCCUUUCACGCGAGGGUCUUAGGACCUGCUUCAGGGGAAGGUCACAGAGUCCUUCCUGUACCUGCCAUGUCUCAAAUGCCUUCAGAAUAUUCGAUAGGUGUUGUAUUCAAGGGUAGGAUGUCCUGGAUCUUGUCAGCCCAAGGCGUUGCUCAGUUGGCUUUCCUCUGCUCUCAGCCACGUCUUCCAAGAAGGCCUCCUUGGUUUGCCAAGGCCAAGAUAUAAGAACCAUUGUAGAAAAUCUACCUUUAUGUGACAAAGAAAACCCACUAUCUUUAAAAAAAUUAAGUUUAACCCUUUACUCUGUAAUGUCCUGAAGACACAACUAAACCAGUCGCUUAGGUUGAGCAAGCAGCAAUUAGCUGCCAAAAUAGGAGUCAAUGGAGCGUGGAGCUAUGCCCUGGGACAGGGAAGCCACACAGCAACCAUGCUUAAAUCCCAGCUCCUCCAUGUGCUAGCUAUUUUCAUUUCACCAAGUUACUUAAUUUCUCUAAGCCUCAAUUUCCUCAUUUGUAAAAUGAGAAUAAUAAUAUCUGCCUUACUGGGCUGUGGGGAAGAUUAAAUGUGACAGUGUAUGUGAAAAUGUUUAUUUAGCCCAUAUUAUGUUUGUAACAUGUGUUUUUUCACCUUCAUUCCUGCUAUCUUCCCUGCCGCCACCACCUACGACUUCAAAUUAUUUCUCCUUUCUUCCCGGAGAAAAUGGAAAAAUCAAAUGUGGCUUCAAACAUGGCCGGAAUGAGGUAGAUGAGCCGGAGGGAAGGCAACCAAAAUAGCCAGAACAGAAAACUAAAAUAAAACUCUGAGGCCCAAUUCAUAUAGAAUCCUUCUGGAAGAAAAUGGAGAAAAAUGCUCUGCGUGUUGGCAUCACCUAGAACAUAGUACAGUCCUCACACAGCAAAAUCCUAUUAAAGCAAUACAUUUCUUUGGUCCUCUUAGGGCUUUCUGUAAGACAGUGGGGUUUCUUACAGUAAAUCUUCAGGGACUUCCAACUCCUUUAAUUGUUUCUGAAUUUCUCCAAAUGUGAGAGUCACUGAAAAGUACCUUUAUGUGUUGAACGGAUUGUCUUUACUCCCCAACCUUAGCAUCGCUCCUUUGUGCUCCUUCCUUCUCUUCGUUCAUGCUGAUAGGUACAUGGUGCUUCUAUUCCAAGACGAUAUGCACGUCUCAAUUGGGACCAGCCAUGCUUCAAGUGCUCAUAUUAGGUAGUGCAGCCAAAACGCUUGAAAUUUCUAGUUCUUUAAGUUUAGUUGAUUCCAUCCUUUCCUUUAUUAGCUUGAGUAUAUCUCAGGACUACCCUUUUCCUACCAACUGCAUCUGCUUUAAAACCUCACAUGUCCUAGAGGAUCUGAGUAAACCCAGGUACCUAUCAUGUAACAACAGACCCUUGUGGUCUCCAGUGAGAGGAACCGGAUACUUUCCAAUGUUUACUGUGAGAACACAAAGUCCUCAUCUUUUAAGAUGCCUGUUUUCUGCCUGCGUGUUCACGAACGUGCCAAUCCACACACGCAAAUCGCCACACAGCGGAGGCUCCUACCACAGGAGGCAAAACCAAAACCAUCCACGUUCUGCAGUUGGAGUUUUGACUGAGGCACGGCACCAGUUUCCACCCCACUCUUCUCUGCCGUGUUCCUUCAGGGCGGUCUCAAAUCCACGGCUCGGCUCCUGGUGCACGGAAUCUGCCUUUGGGUUUGCCGGCACUGCUCUGGUCCUCCUGCUACAUGUUCGAUCUGACAGCCUGUUACCAUGAUUCCCCACGUCUGGGUACAUGCCGUAUAACCAGAAUAGCCAUUCUACAAGAUACCAAUACUCACCUGGUGGCAAAUACCUCCAUUUGCAGGCACUGGGCCAACUAGAAAAAGAAAAGAAAGAAGGAACAACCUAACACUACAAACCCAGACCUAUAAAGCAAUGGCAGAUGCCACAAAGUGCAGUCUCCAACCUUCUCUCUGGGCCAAGACUUCUGCCGUGUUCUGAGCUGGGAGUCCUGGUCAGGUGUUCAUGUUGGUGAAACAGCUUUUAUCUGGUCAUCCAAGAAGGCAGGUUCCUGUCAUCUUUUUGUUCCACCGUCUCCAUGUACACUGUCACCAUCUGUGUCCAGCCAGUGGGAGAGCCACCAUGUGGAGCAGAAUGAGUGAAAAGUUCUGUGAGCCAUUCUUGAAAGUGGCACACAUAAUUUCUGCUUACACCCCAUUGGAGAGGGGGCAGUCACCUGGCUGCUCCAAGUGCAAGGAAGCCUGGGAAAUGUGGUCCAGCUACCUGUUCAAAGGAGAGUGCAGCAUUGGGCACUUAGCUCACAGUCUUCGCCACAAAAACUGAGGAUCAAGGUUCUGAGCUGCAAUGGAAACUAUUCACUGCAGCUCAUAAAGUGAUCAAUCUCAGAAGUAAAUUAACAAACUUAAAUUUAUUAACUCUGGAGGGGCUUUUUUGCAACA